AGUGAACGCUGGCGGCAGGCCUAACACAUGCAAGUCGAACGGCAGCACAGUAAGAGCUUGCUCUUACGGGUGGCGAGUGGCGGACGGGUGAGGUAUACAUCGGAAUCUACUUUUUCGUGGGGGAUAACGUAGGGAAACUUACGCUAAUACCGCAUACGACCUACGGGUGAAAGCAGGGGAUCUUCGGACUUUGCGCGAUUGAAUGAGCCGAUGUCGGAUUAGCUAGUUGGCGGGGUAAAGGCCCACCAAGGCGACGAUCCGUAGCUGGUCUGAGAGGAUGAUCAGCCACACUGGAACUGAGACACGGUCCAGACUCCUACGGGAGGCAGCAGUGGGGAAUAUUGGACAAUGGGGGAAAGCCUGAUCCAGCCAUACCGCGUGGGUGAAGAAGGCCUUCGGGUUGUAAAGCCCUUUUGUUGGGAAAGAAAAGCAGCAGGUUAAUACGCCGCUAUUCUGACGGUACCCAAAGAAUAAGCACCGGCUAACUUCGUG
rnacentral:rRNA from 1 species